CAGCCGCCGCGGUAAUACGUAGGUGGCAAGCGUUGUCCGGAAUUAUUGGGCGUAAAGGGCUCGCAGGCGGUUUCUUAAGUCUGAUGUGAAAGCCCCCGGCUCAACCGGGGAGGGUCAUUGGAAACUGGGAAACUUGAGUGCAGAAGAGGAGAGUGGAAUUCCACGUGUAGCGGUGAAAUGCGUAGAGAUGUGGAGGAACACCAGUGGCGAAGGCGACUCUCUGGUCUGUAACUGACGCUGAAGAGCGAAAGCGUGGGGAGCGAACAGGAUUAGAUACCCGCGUAGUCCCUGUCCUUAUACA
rnacentral:rRNA from 1 species